rnacentral:rRNA from 1 species
GCGUGCUUAACACAUGCAAGUCGAACGAAGCCUAGGAGUGGAAUUUUUCGGAAGGAAACAACUAUGACUGAGUGGCGGACGGGUGAGUAACGCGUGGGUAACCCGCCUCAUACAGGGGGAUAACAGUUAGAAAUGACUGCUAAUACCGCAUAAGCGCACAAAACCGCAUGGUUUGGUGUGAAAAACUGAGGUGGUAUGAGAUGGACCCGCGUCUGAUUAGCUAGUUGGAGAGGUAACGGCUCACCAAGGCAACGAUCAGUAGCCGACCUGAGAGGGUGACCGGCCACAUUGGGACUGAGACACGGCCCAAACUCCUACGGGAGGCAGCAGUGGGGAAUAUUGCACAAUGGGGGAAACCCUGAUGCAGCAACGCCGCGUGAGUGAAGAAGUAUUUCGGUAUGUAAAGCUCUAUCAGCAGGGAAGAAGAGAGACGGUACCUGACUAAGAAGCCCCGGCUAACUACGUGCCAGCAGCCGCGGUAAUACGUAGGGGGCAAGCGUUAUCCGGAUUUACUGGGUGUAAAGGGAGCGUAGACGGCUUGAUAAGUCUGAAGUGAAAGGCCAAGGCUUAACCAUGGAACUGCUUUGGAAACUAUGAGGCUAGAGUGCUGGAGAGGUAAGCGGAAUUCCUAGUGUAGCGGUGAAAUGCGUAAAUAUUAGGAGGAACACCAGUGGGGGAAGGCGGCUUUUCUGGACCAGAAAACUGACGUUGAGGCUUGAAAGCGUGGGGAGCCAACAGGAUUUAAAUCACCUGGUACUCCACGCGGUAAACGAUGAAUGUUAGGUGUUGUGGGGCAAAGCCCAUCGGGCCGUUCGCAAACGCCAAUAAGCAUUUCACCUGGGGAGUACGUUCGCAAGAAUGAAACUCAAAGGAAUUGACGGGGACCCGCACAAGCGGUGGAGCAUGUGGUUUAAUUCGAAGCAACGCGAAGAACCUUACCAAGUCUUGACAUCCUCCUGAAUGAUGGGUAAAACCAUCAGGCCUUCGGGACAGGAGAGACAGGUGGUGCAUGGUUGUCGUCAGCUCGUGUCGUGAGAUGUUGGGUUAAGUCCCGCAACGAGCGCAACCCUUAUCAUUAGUAGCCAGCAGGUAGAGCUGGGGACUCUAGUGAGACUGCCAGGGAGAACCUGGAGGAAGGUGGGGAUGACGUCAAAUCAUCAUGCCCCUUAUGAUUUGGGCUACACACGUGCUACAAUGGCGUAAACAGAGGGAGGCGAAAGUGAGAGCUGGAGCGAACCCCAAAAAUAACGUCUCAGUUCGGAUUGUAGUCUGCAACUCGACUACAUGAAGCUGGAAUCGCUAGUAAUCGAGAAUCAGAAUGUCGCGGUGAAUACGUUCCCGG